AUGAGUUUAAUCCAUAAAUGAGUUGAGUAAUAUAUUUCUUAUAUACUCAAGAAUGUUCACUUUAAAGGAAAUUAGUUUUAAUUCAUGCACAAUACUACAAAUUCCAAAAAACGGGCUUAACUUUUUUUGGUAAAAAUAUGCCCAUAUAUGGUAAUCACAUGACGUCCAUUGUUGCUUUAAGAAAUGGGGUCAAACCGGGGUCAGCUUUCCGACUGAAU
rnacentral:lncRNA from 1 species